rnacentral:lncRNA from 1 species
CUCGCUGCUGUGGUCCACAGCUUCAUUCCUUGAAGCCCGUGAGACACGAACGCUUCCAUUGAGAAAAACCUUCCAUCAGAAGAAGACUUCUCGUCUCAGUGGGACUGCUGAGUUGAAUGGGUGAUGCACCGAACUACCCAGUUCUCUCCCUUAGGAGUUUUCCUCUUUUUUCAAACCUGAGAAGCAAAAGUGCCAUAACAAUUGUGAAACGAUUCAGAAGAAGAAUGUCAGCUUUUGACAAGUCAACUUUUAUCUCACUUGAAGGGACAGGAGGAAAUCAGCAGAUGAAAGGAGAAUUGAU